CCUACGGGAGGCAGCAGUGGGGAAUAUUGGGCAAUGGGCGCAAGCCUGACCCAGCAACGCCGCGUGAAGGAAGAAGGCUUUCGGGUUGUAAACUUCUUUUCUCAGGGACGAAGCAAGUGACGGUACCUGAGGAAUAAGCCACGGCUAACUACGUGCCAGCAGCCGCGGUAAUACGUAGGUGGCAAGCGUUAUCCGGAUUGACUGGGUGUAAAGGGCGGGUAGGCGGGAAAGCAAGUCAGAUGUGAAAACCAUGGGCUCAACCUGUGGCCUGCAUUUGACACUGUUUUUCUUGAGUACUGGAGAGGCAGACGGAAUUCCUAGUGUAGCGGUGAAAUGCGUAGAUAUUAGGAGGAACACCAGUGGCGAAGGCGGUCUGCUGGACAGCAACUGACGCUGAGGCGCGAAAGCGUGGGGAGCAAACAGGAUUAGAUACCCCGGUAGUC
rnacentral:rRNA from 1 species